rnacentral:rRNA from 1 species
CUGUCUAAGACUAAGCCAUGCACGUCUAAGUACAAACUAAGUGAUGGUGAAACUGCAAAUGGCUCAUUACAACGGUUAUGAUGUACCCGGGAGUUCCGAUGGAUAUUUCCAGUAACACUAGAACUAAUACAUGUCCCUGCGUUUAUUAGUUUCGCACAGUCCGUCGCUGAGUCAUGGUAAACAGUUGAUCGACUCGACGUCCCGGAACAGUUUCCGCCCCAUCAGCUUCGAUGGUUGGGUAUUGGCCUACCAUUGCAACAACGGGUAACGAGGAAUUAGGGUUUGAUUUCGGAGAGGGAGCCUGAGAAACGGCUACCACAUCUACGGAUGGCAGCAGGCGCGCAAAUUACCCAAUGCAGACACUGUGAGGUAGUGACGAGAAAUAAUAAAGCGGGACUUCUGUUUCGCUAUUAUAAUGAGGAAUAACCAAAGGUCAUUCCGAUUAGCAACUGAUGGGAAAGUCUGGUGCCAGCAGCCGCGGUAAUACCAGCGUCAGUAGC